AUUGAACGCUGGCGGAAUGCUUUACACAUGCAAGUCGAACGGCAGCACGGACUUCGGUCUGGUGGCGAGUGGCGAACGGGUGAGUAAUGUAUCGGAACGUGCCCAGUCGUGGGGGAUAACGUAGUGAAAAUUACGCUAAUACCGCAUACGAUCUAUGGAUGGAAGCGGGGGAUCGCAAGACCUUGCGCGAUUGGAGCGGCCGAUAUCAGAUUAGGUAGUUGGUGGGGUAAAGGCCCACCAAGCCAACGAUCUGUAGCUGGUCUGAGAGGACGACCAGACACACUGGAACUGAGACACGGUCCAGACUCCUACGGGAGGCAGCAGUGGGGAAUUUUGGACAAUGGGCGAAAGCCUGAUCCAGCCAUUCCGCGUGCAGGAUGAAGGCCCUCGGGUUGUAAACUGCUUUUAUACAGAACGAAAAGGUUUCUACUAAUACUAGGAGCUCAUGACGGUACUGUAAGAAUAAGCACCGGCUAACUACGUGCCAGCAGCCGCCGUAA
rnacentral:rRNA from 1 species